rnacentral:misc_RNA from 1 species
AGCACAUCAGAGGACAUCCCCUGUAUCAGAAUGAGACCUUGAUACCAAGUAGUGCCAUGAGCUGGGAGACGAACUCAGGAUGCCCCGGCCAGGCAGCACCAGUCACUAGAUUGCCAUCGGUGAAGCAACGAUCGAUAGGGUCAGGCUCCAACCAUGUCGCCCCUGACAGGACGACGUCAAGCUUCACAGCAGGAUAAGCAGUGCACUUCUUUCCCUUGAGAACUCCAGCAGCUGCUAAGAUCUGCUGUCCAUGGCAAAUAGAUGCAACUGGCUUCCCACUAUCCAUGAACUCCUUAACCAAAGCAAUUACUUUCUCGUCCAAUGCAAGAUACUCAGGGGCUCGGCCUCCUGGUAUAACUAAUGCAUCAUAGUCUGAAGCAUGGGUUCCUUCAAAAUUGGCCGUCAGUGUGAAAUCAUGGCCCGGUUUUUCGCUAUAAGUUUGAUCACCUUCAAAAUCAUGGAUGGCUGUCGGACAUUUAUCACCUGAACCCUUGUUUGGGCAGACUGCAUCAACUACACAACCAAGAGCCUGGAGAGAUUGAAAUGGAACCUUAACCUCAUAAUCCUCCAUAAAGUCCCCACAGAUGAACAAGAUUCUUUUAUUUGAGCCGGUUAUCAGUCCUCCCAGUGCUUUGACAAAGAGCCGAAUAUACUCAGGAUGCCCAUGGAAUGACGCGCUGGUUAUAAGAUUGCCAUCAGCAGCACAUUUAGCCAGUGUUUCUGGUACAACCCAGUGACAACCAGCACCAACAAGAGCCGGCUUCACGGCAGGGUACGCAGUGCACUUACGUCCCUUGAGCAAGUCCGCAGCCGCCAAAACCAACUGGCCAUGGCAGAUGGAAGCGAUCGGCUUUCCAGAGUCAGAGAAUUUGCGUACUAUCUGCAGAACCUUUUCAUCCAUGGCAAGAUAUUCUGGAGCACGUCCUCCCGGGAUGACCAAACCAUCAUACUUACUGACCUCAACUUCAUCGAAUGUUGCAUUCAAUGUGAAGUUAUGUCCCCGUGUCUCUGAAUACGUCUGAUGCCCCCUGUUCUGCUGGACGGCGGUGCGGCAGACCUCGCCGGACUUCUUGCCGGGGCAGACAGCGUCGACGGAGAUCCCGUAAGCCUGCAGCGCUUGGAACGGCACCAUUACCUCGUAAUCUUCCAUGUAGUCUCCGCAUAGUAGGAGGACUGAUCUCUGAGCUGCCGCCUUCGCCAUGGAUUCUGGUAGCUUCUACUUCUGUGUUCUCA